rnacentral:rRNA from 1 species
GAUGAACGCUAGCGGAUAGGCUUAACACACGCAAGUCGAGGGGCAGCAUGAACAAAGCUUGCUUUGUUUGAUGGCGACCGGCGCACGGGUGCGUAACACGUACGCAACUUACCCAUAAAACGGGGAUAACCCGGAGAAAUUCGGACUAAUACCCGAUGGUAUUGAGAGAAGGCAUCUUCACUUAAUUAAGGAUUUAUCGAUUAUGGAUAGGCAUGCGCAUGAUUAGCUAGUUGGUGAGGUAACGGCUCACCAAGGCGACGAUCAUUAGGGGUUCUGAGAGGAAGGUCCCCCACACUGGUACUGAGACACGGACCAG